GUAGGUGGCAAGCGUUGUCCGGAAUUAUUGGGCGUAAAGCGCGCGCAGGCGUUUCUUUAAGUCUGAUGUGAAAGCCCACGGCUCAACCGUGGAGGGUCAUUGGAAACUGGAGAACUUGAGUACAGAAGAGGAAAGCGGAAUUCCACGUGUAGCGGUGAAAUGCGUAGAGAUGUGGAGGAACACCAGUGGCGAAGGCGGCUUUCUGGUCUGUAACUGACGCUGAGGCGCGAAAGCGUGGGGAGCAAACAGGGAUUAGAUACCCUGGUAGUCCACGCCGUAAACGAUGAGUGCUAAGUGUUAGGGGGUUUCCGCCCCCUUAGUGCUGCAGCUAACGCAUUAAGCACUCCGCCUGGGGAGUACGGCCGCAAGGCUG
rnacentral:rRNA from 1 species